UGGGCUUCGAUCAAAAGCAGCAGCUUGACGUAGCUGUUAGUUUCAAAGGGAGCCGACAGCAACUCCUUCCUGUGGUCUGUUGAUUUUUCCCCAGAGUUUUAAAGGGAAUGAUCACUUCAGUUGGAAGGGACAAAG
rnacentral:snoRNA from 1 species